rnacentral:rRNA from 1 species
GGUUCGGAAUAACUCACCGAAAGGCGAGCUAAUACCGGAUAAGCCCGAAAGACCAAAGAUUUAUCGCCCAAGGAUGAGCCCGCGUAAGAUUAGCUAGUUGGUGAGGUAAAGGCUCACCAAGGCGACGAUCAGUAGCUGGUCUGAGAGGAUGAUCAGCCACACUGGGACUGAGACACGGCCCAGAUUCCUACGGGAGGCAGCAGUGGGGAAUAUUGGACAAUGGGCGCAAGCCUGAUCCAGCCAUGCCGCGUGAGUGAUGAAGGCCUUAGGGUUGUAAAGCUCUUUUAUCCGGGAUGAUAAUGACAGUACCGGGAGAAUAAGCUCCGGCUAACUUCGUGCCAGCAGCCGCGGUAAUACGGAGGGAGCUAGCGUUGUUCGGAAUUACUGGGCGUAAAGCGCACGUAGGCGGCUGAGUAAGUCAGAGGUGAAAGCCUGGAGCUCAACUACAGAAUUGCCUUUGAGACUGCAUCGCUUGAAUCCAGGAGAGGAGAGUGGAAUUCCGAGUGUAGAGGUGAAAUUCGUAGAUAUUCGGAGGAACACCAGUGGCGAAGGCGGCU